rnacentral:rRNA from 1 species
UACGUAGGGUGCAAGCGUUAAUCGGAAUUACUGGGCGUAAAGCGUGCGUAGGCGGUUUUGUAAGUCUGACGUGAAAUCCCCGGGCUCAACCUGGGAAUUGCGUUGGAGACUGCAAGGCUGGAGUCUGGCAGAGGGGGGUAGAAUUCCACGUGUAGCAGUGAAAUGCGUAGAGAUGUGGAGGAACACCGAUGGCGAAGGCAGCCCCCUGGGCCAAGACUGACGCUCAUGCACGAAAGCGUGGGGAGCAAACAGG